UACGAAGGGGGCUAGCGUUGCUCGGAAUCACUGGGCGUAAAGGGCGCGUAGGCGGAUCUUUAAGUCGGGGGUGAAAGCCCAGGGCUCAACCCUGGAAUUGCCUUCGAUACUGUAGAUCUUGAGACCGGAAGAGGUAAGUGGAACUGCGAGUGUAGAGGUGAAAUUCGUAGAUAUUCGCAAGAACACCAGUGGCGAAGGCGGCUUACUGGUCCGGUUCUGACGCUGAGGCGCGAAAGCGUGGGGAGCAAACAGG
rnacentral:rRNA from 1 species